CAGUAGCACGAGAGCGCAGGCUGCCAGGCUUGAGCACAAAAGGACAUACGGUCUGCUUCUCAAAGGAAGAAUUUAAAGGGCCCAUGAAAGUCGCGAGGACCCAGAUGUGGGUUGGUUUGAAAAGGCAGGAGCAGACAGAGAGAAACUGGAUGACUGGAGCCGUGGCAACUGAGACCAGAGCAGUGGUUCCGGCUGCUGAGGACGCAGCAGAAGGCAGGGACAAAGCAACAAGAUCGGCCUGUGUGUCUUCAAGACUUUUUGCUGGAGAGGCUGGAGAAGCAGGCUGAAGCAGAAGAGAGCUCCACCCAACCUCUCCAGUCCAGAUAAACCCUCGCCUGUCCUUGUAAUUCCCUAUUGAUAUGUUGAUGGACUAAUUCUAUCCACCCCUUGGAAACACCUAUUGAUACGCAGAAGAACUAAAGCCCGUUGAGAGUCUGGAAAUACUACAAUUCUACCCACAAACAGAAUCAAGAAUCCUCUCCUAGGCUGAGGUCUCACUUAGUGCACAGGGAGACCUCCCCUGAUGGGACUGCCUGACAACACCACAGUGUCAAAGAGUAUUUCUUCCAGAAGAUGCUCAAUGAUCAGUGACAGGUUUUAAAGGAUAUUAAUGACCUGUAGUAAACUUAAUGGUGAUCCCCAAAAAGAUGUGUCCAUGUCCUGUGUGAUCUUAUUUGGAAAAAAGAGGCUUUGCAGAUGUCAUUAAGUUAAGUUCUCUAGUGAGGAGAUCAUCUUGGAUUAUCUGAGUGAGCCUUAAAUCCAAUGACAAGUGUCUUUAUAAGAGGGAGGCCGCGGGGUAUGAGGCAGAGAGGAGAGAGGGCCAUAUGACUAUGGAGGCAGAGGUUGGAAUGAUGUACCCAUAAGCCCAGAAAUGCUGACUGUCACCACAAGCUGAGACCUGAGGCAGGGACUAGGGUCUCCUCUAGAGCCUCCGGAGGGAGUGUGGCCCUGCCGACAUCUUGAUUUCAGACUUCUGGCCUCUAGAAUUGUGUGAGUAUAUAAGUUUACAUUGUUUUAAGCUACCCAGUAUUUGGUGAUUUGUUACGGCAGCCCCAGGAAACUAGUAUGGUUAGUACUGGAUGCCACUGCAGGAGCAGAGUACAGGCUAAGGUGAGGGAUAAAGGCCAUCACGUUGCUAAAACGAGAGGUAAAUCUGUGGCUUCUUUCCACAAAUGCAUCCUUCCCAGAGGGCAGCUUUGUAAUUCAGGUUCAAAUGUCCCCAUUGUGGGGAGCUGGGUAACAGCGUGGCAGGCCAUUUUUUUUUGCUAGGGACAAACCUCUUCUGCUCCAAAAGCCUUUAUCUUUGUAUCAUUUGGGAGUUUUCCAGUUGUGACCAAAAAAAGUUAAAAUGGUCUCUCCCAAAUGUGGGAUUCACAUAUAAAUCAAGUAUGAAAAUCAAACGAAUAUUCAUAUUUGACCUGAUUGUCUGUAGUUCAUAA